rnacentral:rRNA from 1 species
CCUACGGGGUGCAGCAGUGAGGAAUAUUGGUCAAUGGGCGCGAGCCUGAACCAGCCAAGUCGCGUGAGGGAAGACGGUCCUAUGGAUUGUAAACCUCUUUUGUCGGGGAGCAAAGCGAGUCACGUGUGACUCAUUGAGAGUACCCGAAGAAAAAGCAUCGGCUAACUCCGUGCCAGCAGCCGCGGUAAUACGGAGGGUGCGAGCGUUAAUCGGAAUUACUGGGCGUAAAGCGCUCGUAGGCGGUAUGUCAAGUCAAGGGUGAAAUCCCCGCGCUCAACGUGGGAACUGCCUUUGAAACUGGCAAACUGGAGUGUGUGAGAGGAUAGUGGAAUUCCAGGUGUAGGAGUGAAAUCCGUAGAUAUCUGGAGGAACAUCAGUGGCGAAGGCGACUAUCUGGCACAUAACUGACGCUGAGGAGCGAAAGCGUGGGUAGCAAACAGGAUUAGAUACCCCUGUAGUC